AGGAUGAACGCUAGCUACAGGCUUAACACAUGCAAGUCGAGGGGCAGCAUGGUCUUAGCUUGCUAAGGCCGAUGGCGACCGGCGCACGGGUGAGUAACGCGUAUCCAACCUGCCUUACACUCUUGGACAGCCUUCUGAAAGGGAGAUUAAUACAAGAUGUUAUCAUGAGUAAGCAUUUUCGCAUGAUUAAAGGUUUACCGGUGUAAGAUGGGGAUGCGUUCCAUUAGAUAGUAGGCGGGGUAACGGCCCACCUAGUCUUCGAUGGAUAGGGGUUCUGAGAGGAAGGUCCCCCACAUUGGAACUGAGACACGGUCCAAACUCCUACGGGAGGCAGCAGUGAGGAAUAUUGGUCAAUGGACGAGAGUCUGAACCAGCCAAGUAGCGUGAAGGAUGAAGGUUCUAUGGAUUGUAAACUUCUUUUAUACGGGAAUAAACGGAUCCACGUGUGGAUUUUUGCAUGUACCGUAUGAAUAAGGAUCGGCUAACUCCGUGCCAGCAGCCGCGGUAAUACGGAGGAUCCGAGCGUUAUCCGGAUUUAUUGGGUUUAAAGGGAGCGUAGAUGGGUUGUUAAGUCAGUUGUGAAAGUUUGCGGCUCAACCGUAAAAUUGCAAUUGAUACUGGCAGUCUUGAGUACAGUUGAGGUAGGCGGAAUUCGUGGUGUAGCGGUGAAAUGCUUAGAUAUCACGAAGAACUCCGAUUGCGAAGGCAGCUUACUAACCUGUAACUGACAUUGAUGCUCGAAAGUGUGGGUAUCAAACAGGAUUAGAUACCCUGGUAGUCCACACGGUAAACGAUGAAUACUCGCUGUAGGCGAUAUACAGUCUGCGGCCAAGCGAAAGCAUUAAGUAUUCCACCUGGGGAGUACGCCGGCAACGGUGAAACUCAAAGGAAUUGACGGGGGGCCCGCACAAGCGGAGGAACAUGUGGUUUAAUUCGAUGAUACGCGAGGAACCUUACCCGGGCUUAAAUUGCAACCGAAUAUGGCGGAAACGCUAUAGCUAGCAAUAGCGGUUGUGAAGGUGCUGCAUGGUUGUCGUCAGCUCGUGCCGUGAGGUGUCGGCUUAAGUGCCAUAACGAGCGCAACCCUUGCCGAUAGUUACUAACAGGUCAUGCUGAGGACUCUGUCGGGACUGCCAUCGUAAGAUGUGAGGAAGGUGGGGAUGACGUCAAAUCAGCACGGCCCUUACGUCCGGGGCUACACACGUGUUACAAUGGGGGGUACAGAGGGCUGCUACCACGCAAGUGGAUGCCAAUCCCAAAAACCUCUCUCAGUUCGGAUUGAAGUCUGCAACCCGACUUCAUGAAGCUGGAUUCGCUAGUAAUCGCGCAUCAGCCACGGCGCGGUGAAUACGUUCCCGGGCCUUGUACACACCGCCCGUCAAGCCAUGGGAGCCGGGGGUACCUGAAGUGCGUAACCGCAAGGAGCGCCCUAGGGUAAAACUGGUG
rnacentral:rRNA from 1 species